UACGAAGGGGAGCUAGCGUUGCUCGGAAUCACUGGGCGUAAAGGGUGCGUAGGCGGGUCUUUAAGUCAGGGGUGAAAUCCGUGGAAGCUCGAACUCCCAGAACUGCCUUGAUACUGAAGAUCUUGAGUUCGGGAGAGGUGAGUGGAACUGCGAGUGUAGAGGUGAAAUUCGUAGAUAUUCGCAAGAACGACCAGUGGCGGAAGGCGGAGC
rnacentral:rRNA from 1 species